rnacentral:rRNA from 1 species
UACGGAGGGUGCAAGCGUUGUUCGGAAUCACUGGGCGUAAAGCGCGUGUAGGUGGUCUUUUAAGUCUGGUGUGAAAGCCCGGGGCUUACCCCCGGAAGGGCACUGGAGACUGGGAGACUAGAGUACCGGAGAGGAAGGUGGAAUUCCUGGUGUAGCGGUGAAAUGCGUAGAUAUCAGGAGGAACACCGGUGGCGAAGGCGGCCUUCUGGACGGCUACUGACACUGAGACGCGAAAGCGUGGGGAGUAAACAGG